UUAAAUGCAUGCUGAUAUGACAGCCGUCCCAAUACAAUCUAAGAAAAGUGUUUUGAAUGAAGUUAAAGACAAUGAAGCGCUACUAGAGCCAUUGUAUGGAAAAAAACUUAACGAACUGUUUGGCCAACACAGUAUAAGUAAUAAUGCUGACCUAGUAAAAUGAGCUUGGGAGCCUAUCUUCCUCUUGAAUUUUUGGGGACUAGUUUGAGAAGGAGAGGCAUUAGUUCUUCUUUGAGUAUUUGGUAAAAGUCUCCUGUGAACCCAUCCAGUCCAGGACUAUUGUUUGCUGGGAGUUUUUUUUUUUUUUCAUUAUUAUUACUGCUUCAAUUUCACUAGUUGUAUUGUUCUAUUCAGAUUUUCUGAUUCUUUCUGAUUCAGUUGUGGAAGACUGUAUAUUUCUAGGAAUUUAUCCAUUUCACUGAGGUCAUCUAAUUUGUUGGCACACGAGAUCUGUCCGUAAGGUAUCCAGCCAUGCAAUGUGAAAAAAUAGAGACAUUUAUUGAAGAAGAUACAAGAUACAAAAAAAAAAAACAUUGUACACAGGAAAAUGACACCUCAGUCCACUUCAAAGUAUGCAUCUUGGGACUUCAGACUGUUCCCCCAAUCCCUAUCAGCUGCCCCGUUGUAUUUUCCUGAAUUUCAUUGACAGU